rnacentral:rRNA from 1 species
GUUAUAUGGUCAAGUGAAGAAGCGCAUACGGUGGAUGCCUUGGCAGUCAGAGGCGAUGAAAGACGUGGUAGCCUGCGAAAAGCUUCGGGGAGUCGGCAAACAGACUUUGAUCCGGAGAUGUCUGAAUGGGGGAACCCAGCCAUCAUAAGAUGGUUACCUUACACUGAAUACAUAGGUGUAAGGGGCGAACCAGGGGAACUGAAACAUCUAAGUACCCUGAGGAAAAGAAAUCAACCGAGAUUCCCUUAGUAGUGGCGAGCGAACGGGGACUAGCCCUUAAGUGGCUUUGAGAUUAGCGGAACGCUCUGGAAAGUGCGGCCAUAGUGGGUGAUAGCCCUGUACGCGAAAAUCUCUUAGUCAUGAAAUCGAGUAGGACGGAGCACGAGAAACUUUGUCUGAAUAUGGGGGGACCAUCCUCCAAGGCUAAAUACUACUGACUGACCGAUAGUGAACUAGUACCGUGAGGGAAAGGCGAAAAGAACCCCGGAGAGGGGAGUGAAAUAGAUCCUGAAACCGUAUGCGUACAAGCAGUGGGAGCCUACUUGUUAGGUGACUGCGUACCUUUUGUAUAAUGGGUCAGCGACUUAUUUUCAGUGGCGAGCUUAACCGAAUAGGGGAGGCGUAGCGAAAGCGAGUCUUAAUAGGGCGUCUAGUCGCUGGGAAUAGACCCGAAACCGGGCGAUCUAUCCAUGGGCAGGUUGAAGGUUGGGUAACACUAACUGGAGGACCGAACCGACUACCGUUGAAAAGUUAGCGGAUGACCUGUGGAUCGGAGUGAAAGGCUAAUCAAGCUCGGAGAUAGCUGGUUCUCCUCGAAAGCUAUUUAGGUAGCGCCUCAUGUAUCACUGUAGGGGGUAGAGCACUGUUUCGGCUAGGGGGUCAUCCCGACUUACCAAACCGAUGCAAACUCCGAAUACCUACAAGUGCCGAGCAUGGGAGACACACGGCGGGUGCUAACGUCCGUCGUGAAAAGGGAAACAACCCAGACCGUCAGCUAAGGUCCCAAAGUUAUGGUUAAGUGGGAAACGAUGUGGGAAGGCUUAGACAGCUAGGAGGUUGGCUUAGAAGCAGCCACCCUUUAAAGAAAGCGUAAUAGCUCACUAGUCGAGUCGGCCUGCGCGGAAGAUGUAACGGGGCUCAAACCAUACACCGAAGCUACGGGUAUCACGUAAGUGAUGCGGUAGAGGAGCGUUCUGUAAGCCUGUGAAGGUGAGUUGAGAAGCUUGCUGGAGGUAUCAGAAGUGCGAAUGCUGACAUGAGUAACGAUAAUGGGUGUGAAAAACACCCACGCCGAAAGACCAAGGUUUCCUGCGCAACGUUAAUCGACGCAGGGUUAGUCGGUCCCUAAGGCGAGGCUGAAAAGCGUAGUCGAUGGAAAACAGGUUAAUAUUCCUGUACUUCUGGUUAUUGCGAUGGAGGGACGGAGAAGGCUAGGCCAGCUUGGCGUUGGUUGUCCAAGUUUAAGGUGGUAGGCUGGAAUCUUAGGUAAAUCCGGGAUUCUAAGGCCGAGAGCUGAUGACGAGUUAUCUUUUAGAUGACGAAGUGGUUGAUGCCAUGCUUCCAAGAAAAGCUUCUAAGCUUCAGGUAACCAGGAACCGUACCCCAAACCGACACAGGUGGUUGGGUAGAGAAUACCAAGGCGCUUGAGAGAACUCGGGUGAAGGAACUAGGCAAAAUGGCACCGUAACUUCGGGAGAAGGUGCGCCGGUGAGGGUGAAGGACUUGCUCCGUAAGCUCAUGCCGGUCGAAGAUACCAGGCCGCUGCGACUGUUUAUUAAAAACACAGCACUCUGCAAACACGAAAGUGGACGUAUAGGGUGUGACGCCUGCCCGGUGCCGGAAGGUUAAUUGAUGGGGUUAGCUAACGCGAAGCUCUUGAUCGAAGCCCCGGUAAACGGCGGCCGUAACUAUAACGGUCCUAAGGUAGCGAAAUUCCUUGUCGGGUAAGUUCCGACCUGCACGAAUGGC